GGUGAACGUAAACAUGCCGCUAUCAAACCUCCCUCACAUUUAAUAAUAAGUUGGAAUGUAUAAAAAUAAGAAUCAUUUGAAAUCAACCAUCGAUUGAACCAACAAGAAAGUGUGACACUGUUUAGAUUGCAAUUGACAAAAUAAGAAAUCUGAAAUCUCAAUGCAAGCUGGUGAAGUGAAUCUGGGAAGUAAAUCAUUUUGUGCAUGAAAUGAAGUUGGGCACGCCUAAUAAGUGCAAGCUACAUGUAAUAUGCAGGUGACGAACACUUGGCUGUAUUCAGGUUCUUACAACUCGAAGACUCCUCGCCCGCCGAGACACCUACAGAGGAGUCUUUGGAGGAAUCUGUGGAGACACCUGCAGAGGUAGUGGCGGAGGCACCUGCACCUCCUCAGAAAGAGGCCCAAUGAAAAGUUUCUGACCUGUUUUCGGAUUGAUCGUGAAGGUAGCUAGGGUUGAGCAUUUACCGAUUGAGGUUGGA
rnacentral:lncRNA from 1 species